GGCCCAAUGGUCUAGACGUAUGAUACACGCUUCGGGGUUUCCCCGCUUACCUCGGUAAGCUGAUAUGUGUGUGGUCCCGGGUUCAAUUCCCGGUUGGGCCC